CAGUCGCCGCGGGAAUACGUAGGGCGCAAGCGUUAUCCGGAAUUAUUGGGCGUAAAGAGCUCGUAGGCGGUUUGUCGCGUCUGCCGUGAAAGUCCGGGGCUCAACCCCGGAUCUGCGGUGGGUACGGGCAGACUAGAGUGAUGUAGGGGAGACUGGAAUUCCUGGUGUAGCGGUGAAAUGCGCAGAUAUCAGGAGGAACACCGAUGGCGAAGGCAGGUCUCUGGGCAUUAACUGACGCUGAGGAGCGAAAGCAUGGGGAGCGAACAGGAUUAGAGACCCCAGUAGUCCCUGUCUCUUAUAC
rnacentral:rRNA from 1 species